rnacentral:rRNA from 2 species
CCUACGGGAGGCAGCAGUGGGGAAUAUUGGGCAAUGGGGGAAACCCUGACCCAGCAACGCCGCGUGAGGGAAGAAGGUUCUCGGAUUGUAAACCUCUGUCCUUGGUGACGAAAAAAAUGACGGUAGCCAAGGAGGAAGCCCCGGCUAACUACGUGCCAGCAGCCGCGGUAAUACGUAGGGGGCAAGCGUUGUCCGGAAUGACUGGGCGUAAAGGGCGUGUAGGCGGCCGAUUAAGUCUGGAGUGAAAGUCCUGCUGUAAAGGUGGGAAUUGCUUUGGAGACUGGUUGGCUUGAGUGCGGAAGAGGUAAGUGGAAUUCCCAGUGUAGCGGUGAAAUGCGUAGAGAUUGGGAGGAACACCAGUGGCGAAGGCGACUUACUGGGCCGUAACUGACGCUGAGGCGCGAAAGCGUGGGGAGCGAACAGGAUUAGAUACCCCGGUAGUC